CACUCCUACGGGAGGCAGCAGUGGGGAAUAUUGCACAAUGGGCGCAAGCCUGAUGCAGCCAUGCCGCGUGUAUGAAGAAGGCCUUCGGGUUGUAAAGUACUUUCAGCGGGGAGGAAGGCAAUACGGUUAAUAACCGUGUUGAUUGACGUUACCCGCAGAAGAAGCACCGGCUAACUCCGUGCCAGCAGCCGCGGUAACACGGAGGGUGCAAGCGUUAAUCGGAAUUACUGGGCGUAAAGCGCACGCAGGCGGUCUGUCAAGUCGGAUGUGAAAUCCCCGGGCUCAACCUGGGAACUGCAUUCGAAACUGGCAGGCUUGAGUCUUGUAGAGGGGGGUAGAAUUCCAGGUGUAGCGGUGAAAUGCGUAGAGAUCUGGAGGAAUACCGGUGGCGAAGGCGGCCCCCUGGACAAAGACUGACGCUCAGGUGCGAAAGCGUGGGGAGCAAACAGGAUUAGAAACCCGGGUAGUCCCAU
rnacentral:rRNA from 1 species